rnacentral:rRNA from 1 species
UACAGAGGGUGCGAGCGUUGUUCGGAAUUAUUGGGCGUAAAGGGCGCGUAGGCGGUGCGGUAAGUCACCUGUGAAAUCUCCUGGCUCAACUGGGAGCUUGCAGGCGAAACUGCCGUGCUGGAGUGUGGGAGAGGUGCGUGGAAUUCCUGGUGUAGCGGUGAAAUGCGUAGAUAUCAGGAGGAACACCUGUGGCGAAAGCGGCGCACCGGACCACAACUGACGCUGAGGCGCGAAAGCUAGGGGAGCAAACAGG